ensembl:lncRNA
UACGCUCAGAGUCCCCAUCUGGUUUCAACCUGCCUCUUCCCCUCUGCCCCCCCCAUCUUCCCUGAAUUCCAGCCUCCAGGGUGGUACCCAUGUUCCGGGACCCACUUCUGAGUGCCAGCCGGAGCCCAUGCAAGGACCUCUCCUUGGUAUGCCCUUCUUCUCCCUUCUUCUGGUCCUAUCGUGACAGGUGACUUAGACGGGCACACGUGACGCCCACACCUCCCCCAGGAGCCCAAACAGACGGAGACAGUUGGCCGGACUGGCAAGGAGUGCUGCUGUGGGUGGCGCCCAGGGGUGUCGCUACAUCCUGCUGUGUCCAGGACAGCCCCACAACGAGGAAUUGUCAGCCCCAAAGGUCAGUCGUGCUGAGAUGGAGGAACCCCGCCCCAAAGGCUUACCCCCAUGGACAAGCAUCACAGCAAAUCUGGGAAGCUCCUUAGACAUGUAGACUCCUGGGCCCCACCCCAGACCAUGUACAUCAGACUCUGCGUUUGAGCAGCGCCCCCCAGAGGAGUUCUGUGUUCGUUUGAGACCCAGACUGCACAGUGAGGUAGCC